rnacentral:lncRNA from 1 species
AGUCAGAUGACUACCCUUGGUCCAGCUAGCUGUGGAUCAGGGAACAGGUGGUGUGGCACAGCCCCCACCGAGGUCACUCAGCCUCCCCUGGGAGAGCACGGGCAGGGCUCUUUCAAGUACAAGACGGAGCAGGCCCUGUAGGGUUGCCCCAGUGAUAAAAGAUCCAGGCAGACAGGCAGGCAGCACCAGACCCGCCUGGCUGUGGACAGCUGUCCACAGGCACUGGGCUGGGGUUCGUGCUGGAGGGGGGAGGUUCCCAAGAUCUGAGGAUGGUCCCCGAAUCAGGAAGCAGGCUCCAGAACUGAGUGCAGAACAAAGCGGAGCAAGAUCUGACUCAUAGCCACAGAGACGCUGCUGCCGCCCAGAGAGCUGCUCAUGUCCACACCUCUGACCUGCUGUCAGGAGAGCUGUCAGGAGAUGCAGAUCCAACACUGAAACAAAGAGAAGCCCCCGACCCCCAGUGCUUUCAUGGUAUAAGCGUGUGCAACCCCAGCGACCCAGAGCACUUCAUGGACUAGAACACACUUUCUUCCCCCUCAAGUUGAGUGAGUUGACUCUACUGUAGGUGUAUCUCAAUAAACACAUUUGCAAGUCCUGGGGAGCCAGGCUCAGCCAACACCUUCACUUUCUGACCCCUGUGAAUAUGACCCCAAGGCCUUCCUUCAAUGAAGAGACCACCAACCCUGAGAAUAAAGGUAUGCAUGGAGAUAGUGCUGUUGAAGACGUUCUCCACACUGGCCGGAGAUCUCUUGAAAAUGCAAAACGAAGGCCGGUGUGGAACUCCAUCACACAGCCCUGGACCGCAGAAAAGCCACGAUUCCUGAUGAGCCUUCAAAAUUACUUUUAACAAUUACUGAUGAAACGGCCCCUGCCCUCCGGUUUGGUCUGGCAAACUAUGUUUCUUCUUCACAGCCAGCAACGUCACCACCACGGACCCUAGGAGCUGUCUGGCGAGCUUCCUGGGACCCCAGGAGGAACUUCACAUCCCCACUUAUUCACUAAGUCCUGAAAUUUUAGCCAGAAGUGUUUUUUGCUGGUUUUAGCUGAUGAAGCCGCUUGUGUUUGUUUUCAAGAGCUGCCAGAAACAAAGUACCACAAACUGGGUGACUGCAUCAGCAGAGAGGCACACCGUCUCAGUGCUGGAGGCUCGACAUCUGAAUGAAGGAAUGGAGAUAAGGAUUCCUGCCUGCUUCUCUGGGC